UUCCUGAGGCGUCCCCAGAAGCAGAUGCUUCUAUGCUUCCUGUACAGCCUGCAGAACUCUGGGACACCCAUCUUCUCUUGCCUUUGGAUAUCAGAACUCCAGAUUCUUCAGCCUUCGCACUCUGAGACUUGUACCAGUGGCCUCCGGGUCUCAGGCCUUCAGCUGCAGACUGAGAGUUACCCAACUGGCUUUCCUGAUUGACGCUUAGACUGUACCACAUAAAUGGCUUCCCUGGUCCCCAGCUUGCAGAUGGCCUAUUGUGGGAAUUUUCAGCCUCUGUAAUCAUUGUAAUCAUAUGAGCCCAUUCCCAUAAUAAAUCCCUUCUCAUGUAUCUAUGUAUCUAUACCUGUAUCAAUCCUAUUUCUUUCUUUUUUUUUUUUUUGAGACAGAGUCUUGCUCUGUCACCCAGGCUGGAGUGCAGUGGCGUGUUCUCAGCUCAAUGCAACCUCCGCCUCCCAGGUUCAGGCGAUUCUCCUGCCUCAGCCUCCCGAGUAGCUGGGACUACAGGCACCCGCCACCACGCCCAGCUAAUUUUUGUAUUUUUAGUAGAGACGGGGUUUCAUCAUGUUGGCCAGGAUAGUCUCCAUCUCUUGGCCUCGUGAUUCACCCGCCUCGGCCUCCCAGAGUGCUGGGAUUACAGGCGUAAGCCAGCACACCUGGCCUCGAUGCUAUUUCUAUCCUAUCGGUUCUGUUUACCUGAAGAACCCUAACAUAGGUUUUGGUAUCAGGAUGAUUCUAGAGAAACAGAAUCAUAAGAAUGAGUUUUCUGAAUGUGUAUUGUGUUUUUCGGAAUUGGUUUUCUAAUAUGACUUGACUUAAAAGUGAGAAGAACUCUACUUCCAACAGUACACAGGACACUGAUGGUCCAUGGUGUGAAUAGUUUAUGAAAAUAUGCAAAUUUCUGCAUUGUAUACUCCUAGUAAACCACUUACAAGAGGCAAGGAGCUUAGUGACUCUGUAUAUGAUAUUUUCGAACAUUUGUGGAAAACCAGGGAAUAUAGUGACGUGGGCUGGUUACCAGUUGGUUGCUGGACAAAGUGAUGAAAUCACAGGAUGUGCUCAGUGAUUCAAAUUCCCAGUUCCAGCUCUGUAUAAAUAACCUGUGAGUGGCUGAGUGAACCCUGAAGGAGAACCUCCUUUCCUGUAGCCCUGGGGCCAAGACUGCUGAAAAGCAACCACAAGUCCUCGUCCUGAAACUGGAUGAAUUACAACGCAAGUUGAACUCUCAGCCUUGCGGGGUGUCCACUGUUCCAGUGAGGGCAUUGGCUGGGAAACAGAGGAUCCU
rnacentral:lncRNA from 1 species